rnacentral:lncRNA from 11 species
UGUAUCUUUCAUUUUUUCUGCCUAAGUGGAGUAUCUUGCAUUUUUCCCUGUGGAACUUUAUUUUGUUAUUUUCGGCCCAUCUCUCUAAUCUGUUAAGAUCGUUUUGAAUUCUGCUCCUGUCUUCUGGAGUAUUGGCUAUCCCUGCCAAUUUGGUGUUGUCUGCAAACUUGAUGCAACAGAUUGAGAAGCCACCAUCAUUGUGUUAAUCACACCACUGGUUGGGACCCUCACUCUGAAGACUGUGUUGAUUGGCUUUGCACCAACCUCCUCACAUUAAAAAAACUCAUGCACAGGCAUCUUCCAAGAUUUUGGAAGACCAUCAUACUGAAACAACGAGGGAUCGCCUGAGAAGUAGAAGCUUGUUUCAUCAUCCUUUCACAGGCACAUUUUUCUGGUAAAUCAUGGGAGCAGCUACCUUGUGCGAGUGCAGUGCUUUCAACAUCUUGGAGCUGUGAUUGAUAAGUUACAGGAGACUUUUGUCCCUAGUAAAAACUAUUCAGAACACCAUCAUACAGGUAUGUCAUAUCAGUACUAUUGUAGGCAUGACUGCAAUGCCAAAUGAUUGCCGCA